GCUGGUUGGUGUGCAUGCUGUAAGAGCAGCUGGCCCUUCACCUGGGAGUGUGUAGGACUCCUCACAAGCAGUGUUAGGGUAUCCCUAUAUUUUCU